GAUGAACGCUAGCGGGAGGCCUAAUACAUGCAAGUCGAACGGUAAGGUCCCUUCGGGGAUACACGAGUGGCGGACGGGUGCGUAACGCGUACGAAACAUACCUUCAACAGGGAGAUACCUCCGGGAAACUGGAAAUAAUACCCCAUAGUAUUGUGACAUCGCAUGAUGUUACAUUAAAGCUUUGGCGGUUGAAGAUUGUCGUGCGUCUGAUUAGCUAGUUGGUGAGGUAACGGCUCACCAAGGCGACGAUCAGUAGCUGGUCUGAGAGGAUGAUCAGCCACACUGGAACUGAGACACGGUCCAGACUCCUACGGGAGGCAGCAGUAGGGAAUAUUGGACAAUGGGCGGAAGCCUGAUCCAGCCAU
rnacentral:rRNA from 1 species